AGCGAGUCUGAAUAGGGCGUUUAGUAUUUGGUCGUAGACCCGAAACCAGGUGAUCUACCCUUGGUCAGGUUGAAGUUCAGGUAACACUGAAUGGAGGACCGAACCGACUUACGUUGAAAAGUGAGCGGAUGAACUGAGGGUAGCGGAGAAAUUCCAAUCGAACCUGGAGAUAGCUGGUUCUCUCCGAAAUAGCUUUAGGGCUAGCCUCAAGUGAUGAUUAUUGGAGGUAGAGCACUGUUUGGACGAGGGGCCCCUCUCGGGUUACCGAAUUCAGACAAACUCCGAAUGCCAAUUAAUUUAACUUGGGAGUCAGAACAUGGGUGAUAAGGUCCGUGUUCGAAAGGGAAACAGCCCAGACCACCAGCUAAGGUCCCAAAAUAUAUGUUAAGUGGAAAAGGAUGUGGCGUUGCCCAGACAACUAGGAUGUUGGCUUAGAAGCAGCCAUCAUUUAAAGAGUGCGUAAUAGCUCACUAGUCGAGUGACACUGCGCCGAAAAUGUACCGGGGCUAAACAUAUUACCGAAGCUGUGGAUUGUCCUUUGGACAAUGGUAGGAGAGCGUUCUAAGG
rnacentral:rRNA from 1 species